rnacentral:rRNA from 1 species
GAUGAACGCUGGCGGCGUGCCUAAUACAUGCAAGUCGAGCGAACAGACGAGGAGCUUGCUCCUCUGACGUUAGCGGCGGACGGGUGAGUAACACGUGGAUAACCUACCUAUAAGACUGGGAUAACUUCGGGAAACCGGAGCUAAUACCGGAUAAUAUAUUGAACCGCAUGGUUCAAUAGUGAAAGACGGUUUUGCUGUCACUUAUAGAUGGAUCCGCGCCGCAUUAGCUAGUUGGUAAGGUAACGGCUUACCAAGGCAACGAUGCGUAGCCGACCUGAGAGGGUGAUCGGCCACACUGGAACUGAGACACGGUCCAGACUCCUACGGGUGGCAGCAGUAGGGAAUCUUCCGCAAUGGGCGAAAGCCUGACGGAGCAACGCCGCGUGAGUGAUGAAGGUCUUCGGAUCGUAAAACUCUGUUAUUAGGGAAGAACAAAUGUGUAAGUAACUAUGCACGUCUUGACGGUACCUAAUCAGAAAGCCACGGCUAACUACGUG